rnacentral:sRNA from 1 species
GCUGGGCGCAGUGGCACAUACCUGUAAUCCCAGUGGCUGGGGAGGCUGAGACAGGAGGAUUGCGAGGCUGCUAAGCCACUCAGUGAGACCCUGUCUCUA